GACGAACGCUGGCGGCGUGCCUAACACAUGCAAGUCGAACGAGGUCCAUGCAGUGGCAACACUGCGGAAGACCUAGUGGCGAACGGGUGUGUAACACGUGAGGAACUUGCCCCGGAGACCGGGAUAAGCCCCCGAAAGGGGGUCUAAUACCGGAUGUCCUCACCGAGUCGCAUGGCUUGGUGAAGAAAUGGAUUCCGCUCCGGGAGAGCCUCGCGGCCUAUCAGCUUGUUGGUGGGGUAACGGCCCACCAAGGCGUCGACGGGUAGCUGGUCUGAGAGGACGAUCAGCCACACUGGGACUGAGACACGGCCCAGACUCCCACGGGAGGCAGCAGUGGGGAAUCUUGCGCAAUGGGCGAAAGCCUGACGCAGCAACGCCGCGUGCGGGAUGAAGGCCCUCGGGUUGUAAACCGCUUUCAGUGGGGACGAACCAAGACGGUACCCACAGAAGAAGCCCCGGCCAACUACGUGCCAGCAGCCGCGGUAACACGUAGGGGGCAAGCGUUGUCCGGAUUUAGUU
rnacentral:rRNA from 1 species